GGGCGUGUGGCUCAGUUGGUAGAGCGUUCGCUUAGCAUCGUGGCUCCUUGAGGAUCCCCUCUGGGUCUCUGUUCUGCGAAAGGUCCUGGGUUCGAUUCCCAGCUCGUCCA